rnacentral:rRNA from 1 species
CGGGUGAGUAAUGCCUAGGAAAUUGCCCUGGUGUGGGGGAUAACCAUUGGAAACGAUGGCUAAUACCGCAUAAUACCUUCGGGUCAAAGAGGGGGACCUUCGGGCCUCUCGCGUCAGGAUAUGCCUAGGUGGGAUUAGCUAGUUGGUGAGGUAAUGGCUCACCAAGGCGACGAUCCCUAGCUGGUCUGAGAGGAUGAUCAGCCACACUGGAACUGAGACACGGUCCAGACUCCUACGGGAGGCAGCAGUGGGGAAUAUUGCACAAUGGGCGCAAGCCUGAUGCAGCCAUGCCGCGUGUGUGAAGAAGGCCUUCGGGUUGUAAAGCACUUUCAGUCGUGAGGAAGGUGGUGUAGUUAAUAGCUGUAUUAUUUGACGUUAGCGACAGAAGAAGCACCGGCUAACUCCGUGCCAGCAGCCGCGGUAAUACGGAGGGUGCGAGCGUUAAUCGGAAUUACUGGGCGUAAAGCGCAUGCAGGUGGUUUGUUAAGUCAGAUGUGAAA